AAUGCUACUGCCUGCCAACUGAUGCCCGGCGCCCAGUGCUCUUCUCACCCUGUAUCCUCCCCAGCGCUUAAAACAGUGCUUUGCAUAUAGAAUGCUCUGACCCCUGCUGCAAUGCUACUGCCUGCCAACUGAUGCCCGGCGCCCAGUGCUCUUCUCACCCUGUAUCCUCCCCAGCGCUUAAAACAGUGCUUUGCAUAUAGAAUGCUCUGACCCCUGCUGCAACGCUCCUGCCUGCCAACUGAUGCCCGGCGCCCAGUGCUCUUCUCACCCUGUAUCCUCCCCAGCGCUUAAAACAGUGCUUUGCACGUAGAAUGCUCUGACCCCUGCUGCAACGCUCCUGCCUGCCAACUGAUGCCCGGCGCCCAGUGCUCUUCUCACCCUGUAUCCUCCCCAGCGCUUAAAACAGUGCUUUGCACGUAGUAAGCGCUUAAC